CCUACGGGCGGCAGCAGUAGGGAAUAUUGCUCAAUGGGGGAAACCCUGAAGCAGCAACGCCGCGUGGAGGAUGAAGGUUUUCGGAUUGUAAACUCCUUUUGUUAGAGAAGAUAAUGACGGUAUCUAACGAAUAAGCACCGGCUAACUCCGUGCCAGCAGCCGCGGUAAUACGGAGGGUGCAAGCGUUACUCGGAAUCACUGGGCGUAAAGAGAGCGUAGGCGGGAUAGCAAGUCAGAUGUGAAAUCCUAUGGCUUAACCAUAGAACUGAAUUUGAAAAUGUUAUUCUAGAGUAUGGGAGAGGUAGGUGGAAUUCUUGGUGUAGGGGUAAAAUCCGUAGAGAUCAAGAGGAAUACUCAUUGCGAAGGCGACCUGCUAGAACAUAACUGACGCUGAUGCGCGAAAGCGUGGGGAGCAAACAGGAUUAGAUACCCGGGUAGUC
rnacentral:rRNA from 1 species